rnacentral:rRNA from 1 species
UAGGGAAUUUUGCGCAAUGGGGGAAACCCUGACGCAGCAACGCCAUGUGAGGGAUGAAGCUUUUAGGAGUGUAAACCUCUUUCGCUAGGGAAUAAGGCAGGCUUUGGUCUGUUUGAAUGUACCUGGAUAAGAAGCACCGGCUAACUUCGUGCCAGCAGCCGCGGUAAUACGAGGGGUGCAAGUGUUGUUCGGAAUCACUGGGCGUAAAGGGAGCGUAGGCGGGAAAUUAAGUCAGAUGUUUAAUUCCAUGGCCCAACCAUGGGUAUGCGUUUGAAACUGAUUUUCUUGAAUAGGAUAGAGGUAGAUGGAAUUCCCGGUGUAGCGGUGGAAUGCGUAGAUAUCGGGAGGAACACCAGUUGCGAAGGCGAUCUACUGGAUCCAUAUUGACGCUGAGGCUCGA